rnacentral:rRNA from 1 species
AACGCGAAGAACCUUACCAACCCUUGACAUCCUUGGACCGCUAGAGAGAUCUAGUUUUCUCGUAAGAGACCAAGUGACAGGUGCUGCAUGGCUGUCGUCAGCUCGUGUCGUGAGAUGUUCGGUUAAGUCCGGCAACGAGCGCAACCCACAUCUUUAGUUGCCAGCAGUUCGGCUGGGCACUCUAGAGAAACUGCCCGUGAUAAGCGGGAGGAAGGUGUGGAUGACGUCAAGUCCUCAUGGCCCUUACGGGUUGGGCUACACACGUGCUACAAUGGCAUCUACAGUGAGUUAAUCUCCAAAAGAUGUCUCAGUUCGGAUUGGGGUCUGCAACUCGACCCCAUGAAGUUGGAAUCGCUAGUAAUCGCGUAACAGCAUGACGCGGUGAAUACGUUCCCGGGUCUUGUACACACCGAAU